rnacentral:rRNA from 1 species
AGUGAACGCUGGCGGUAGGCCUAACACAUGCAAGUCGAACGGCAGCACAGUAAGAGCUUGCUCUUACGGGUGGCGAGUGGCGGACGGGUGAGGAAUACAUCGGAAUCUACUUUUUCGUGGGGGAUAACGUAGGGAAACUUACGCUAAUACCGCAUACGACCUACGGGUGAAAGCAGGGGAUCUUCGGACCUCGCGCGAUUGAAUGAGCCGAUGUCGGAUUAGCUAGUUGGCGGGGUAAAGGCCCACCAAGGCGACGAUCCGUAGCUGGUCUGAGAGGAUGAUCAGCCACAAUGGAACUGAGACACGGUCCAGACUCCUACGGGAGGCAGCAGUGGGGAAUAUUGGACAAAGGGCGCAAGCCUGAUCCAGCCAUACCGCGUGGGUGAAGAAGGCCUUCGGGUUGUAAAGCCCUUUUGUUGGGAAAGAAAAGCAGCAGGUUAAUACCCCGCUGUUCUGACGGUACCCAAAGAAUAAGCACCGGCUAACUUCGUG